AUGACUCAUACCUGGAGAGUUAUAUCAGUACUAUUGGUGUUGAUUUUUUUUUGUUUUCUUCCAACUUUGUCGAUAGAAAAUACGUACCGUGGAGCAAGAUGGAAAGACUAUGAAGCUGCAAAUCUGAUGCAAGAUAUCCUUUUCCUUUUCUUUAAACCCCUCUUUGGUACCUUUGUUUUUAUCAGUGGGACACUGCUGGGCAAGAACGCUUCAGAACUAUUUACUAGCGGCUACUAUCGAGGGGCUCACGGGAUCAUUAUUGUCUAUGACAUGACAGACCAGGACAGCUUCAACAAUGUGAAGCAGUGGUUGAACGAGAUUGAUCGCUAUGCUAGUGAGAAUGUUAACAAGCUUCUUGUAGGGAACAAAUCUGAUCUCACUGACAAAAGAGUUGUAUCAUAUGAGACAGUGAAGGCAUUUGCUGAUGAGAUUGGCAUCCCAUUCAUGGAGACCAGUGCAAAGAAUACCUUGAACGUUGAGCAGGCUUUCAUGGCUAUGUCUGCUUCAAUCAAGGACAGGAUGGCGAGCCAGCCGGCUGCAAACAGCGCUCGCCCAGCGACGGUGCAGAUACGCGGGCAACCUGUCGAACAGAAGACGAGCUGCUGCUCUUCUUGA
rnacentral:rRNA from 1 species